rnacentral:lncRNA from 10 species
GUGAGGUCCCCAGGGCUCCAGAGUCAUAGAGAGAACUCAACCCACAAACACCCUGCCUCUGUCUGGUGGCAGGGAAGGGGGGAUGGAGAGGGGAAUGGCACCACCCUGGGCUUCCCUCCACGGAGGCCAGCUGGCGGUUUUUUCCAGCUGGGGCAUAGCUGGGGCUGCCUCUGCUGGGUACACCACCAAUUCUCCUCCUCACACCAGGGAGGAUUCCCUUUUCUGCCCCCUCCACCAUCACCCAGCGUCCUCCCCACUCCCCUGUGCCUGCUGGUGCUGAGGGGCGAACUGAAUCUGUUUGGGUGUCUGUGGAACAGGCUGUCAUAGAAGUUACUUGGACAACACCACCCACCCCUGGGGGGUGGGGUGGUGGGAACUUGCUUGGUGAUGGCAACAAACAAACAAACACUUUCCCCUUCCCACUUCUCUUCCGGUAUUCCAGACAGGAGGAAUAAUGUACUGAUCUGCUGACAUUAAGAAGGACCCUAUUUUCAGAUUACUUCUUCAAAGGAGCAGCAUCUACAUUGGCAAGGCUGCCCUCUGGUGGUCGAACAUGUAGGAGCGAAUGGGAAGGAUGGAAACCCCAGUAGCCAGGAACCAGCCCAGCUGGCUGAGCCAACCACGCUCAAGAGACUGGCCAGCGAGCCAGGGAGUAGGUAAGUGCUACAAGAAGCGCAUCUGGGUGAAGAUUCGUGUCAGUUCUCCAUCCUUAUGAAUGGCUCCCUCCAAAUCUAACAGGAGGCCCUGGCCUCAGAAGAGCAGGAAAUGAAGGAAUGCCCUAUAGAAAUCUUACCUACCUCAGCCCCAGUAGGAUGGUGUGCAGGUAGGGGGAGCUGGUUUAAGUAGCUAUUCUUUCUCCUCAGUGGUAUGCAGGCAAACAUUUUACAGUCAGCUCUCAAAAAAGGAAAUCCCAAUUUGUAGUGUUUACCAAUUUCUGUAGUGUAAAUACCCCUACCAUGGCCCAUUUUAAACCACCGAUAUGAUGUCACUGAAUGAGGAGCUGGAAGAGAUGCCCAGUAGCACACCAUUAUCUAGAGUUUCCCCCAUACAGACACCAUGGACAGAAAUAACUUCAAGGGCACGAUUAAUAGUGAAAUAUAGUAAACUAAUUGAAAAUGAU